rnacentral:lncRNA from 1 species
CGCCACUGCUGGCGGCAGGAGCCAUCUUGUUUUCACCACGGGAGGUCAGAACGGGGGACGGAGAGCGCAGGGGAGGCCCAGGGCCCCCUCAGGACAGUCUGCCGAGUGAUGACAAGAGGGGACGCCCGAAGCCGCCCAGCCGCUUGUGCCGGGAAUUUCCACCACAGAAGAAAGCGCGCUCUGCGGCAGCCAAGAGCGGCACUGGGCCAACCCCGAGACCGGAGACCGGCGUCUGGGACUCAGAUUGCUGCUUCGGGGUUCAGCCGAGGGCGGGAGCAGGCAGAGACGCUGGACCGAAGGCCUGGAGGCUGCGUGAAGGCUUUUCCCUGCUGGGUUCCCUUAGAGACCUGAGCCGCAGAGGGAAAUUCCCAGCCCAGCCCUCCCUUCUGGCUCCUGCCUUAGAGCAUACUGGGGAUUCUUGGCUAAUUCAGUGCUCUCCUGUCACAGCAUCAGAACUCAAAGGGACCAUCAGAAAAAUCUGGGCCAAGCUCUGCAUUCACAGGUCACAGCUACUUGCAAGCCUGCAGCCUGGAUUCCGCCUGUCCUCUGCAAUACGCCGCCCCCUGCUGGCUGCAGAGGGGAUGACCUCUGGGGGGCGUCCUGCAUCUCCCACACCUUCCUAGCAGAGAGGGGCAGAUCUCUCCUCUCCUGCACCUCUUCCUACCUGGGGCGGGGGGGGGGAGUCCCGGGCCCCUCCUCAUUGCAGACCUCGAGAGAGCUACCGAGAGCUUGAAGCUUCCACUUCUCAGGGUGACCAUGUCCUCUCACUAUCCCGGACACUGCAAGGAUCUGAACCCGAAAAGCUAGCUCAGCUUGUCGUAAGGGCCAGAUCAGAGACCUGGGUGGAUUAGGAAGCAGAUGGGAGACUCCGGGGGGGCCCGGUGCAGGUACGCGGGCCAAUCCGCUAGCCCAGUCCCCCAGCCCCGGCCUCUCGCCAAGGAUGAGUAAUUUUAACUGAGCACCUUCUAUGCCAUAGCACUGUGCUGAGCACCUUAGAUGCAUAAAUCUGCCACUCGACACCCCCUGAAGCAGGUGCUGUCCUAAGCAUCACCGCACAUACAAGUGGGGAGCCAGAGGCAGGGAGGACUUCAGGGACUCUUCCGGGGGCACGUGGCCCAGACGCAGGGUGGCUGGCUCCUGAACCGCAGUGGGUGAACGCCAGCAUCGCACACCGUGAAGGACGCAGACUUGUGUCCCAGGACGCACGGGAAGCUGACUUGAUCACCGUGGGAAAGGGAGUGUGGCUUCGUGGACAGAGUCGGAAGAGCAGUGUAGUGGUGCUCACCCAUCGUCCCAGCACGCUGGAAGGCUGAGGCAGGAGGAUGGCGAGCUUGAGCCCCCGCCUGGGCAACUCAGCUACUUAGUGAGAGCCUGUUUCCUUAACGGGGAUGUAGCUCAGGGUGAAGGGCCUGGGUUCAGUCCCCAGCACCACCAAAAAUAAACAAAGAGUCACUGCCUACCUUUCUGCAGGAGCUGGACCUGAAAGGGUAAAAGCUCCUACCGAGAUUCAUGUUAUCAUCUUAGCUUUUCAAAAAGAAGUCGCUGGCGGAGGGCAUAUGACAGGAGCGUUUACAUACACAGAGGGCUUUUAAACGGCUUUUUCCUAAUGCGUUCAGGGGCAUGGCCGGCCGCCUUCUCUCCAAAGCGGGAAUUGAAAGGAAACCUCGCUCCUGCGAUCCCCAACUCAGACACCAGAUGGCGCCACGUCCUCGCGUCAAUCGCACUUGCUUCCCGCGGCCACCGCAGCGCUGGCUUGGGGUGCUCCUGAGCACGGGGCUCAAGGGUUGAGCUGCACCUUCUGAAAGCGAACAGAAGGGAGUCACCCAAGAGGGGCACCCAUCCCAGCCACCGACCCCACCCCCACUCCUCCCCAACAAGCGCGAGCAUCCUUAGAGCCCUGCCCCUCAGCCUCCCGCCACCCAGGGGAGCCCAGGGGAGCCCAGGGCAGACAUGCGCAGAAAGGGCGACUGUGUUGCCCCUACUUCAGACAGGAGGACAGGCGGGAGGCCCAGAGGGAGGCAGAGCGUCCCGUGUGACUCAGCCUGGGGACCAGCACCAGGCCCAGGUCCCCUCCCCAUGUUUUUAGAGAUGGUCUCGCUGUGCGCUCAGGCUGCCCUCCAGCUCACAACGAUCCUCCUGCCUCUGCCUCCUAGUGCUGGGAUCACAGGCGUGAGCCACCACGCCCGGCUGUGGAACCAGAUUCCCAAUCCCGGGUCCUUCCCACCUUCCCACUGUCCCCAGUGAGAAAAGGCCUCUUAGCUGAGCUUCUGGGAAGAGUGCGUGGAGACCACACACGGUGGGAAUGAGGGUUUCAACAGAGCAUCACGGGGUUCAGCGCAGGGCCGAGGACGCUGCGG